GACUGGUCUGAAGGCUGUUCAUUAACUCAAUUGAUUGUUCACAGUCAGUUAUGUAUCCGACUCCUUAUUCUACUCUUCCGGGCCCGGCUUCUCACUACUGCAUUUGACUAGUGUCUU
rnacentral:Y_RNA from 1 species